AAAGUAUGUUGUGGGAACUUCCUAAAAAGUUCCUUAAACCUCUCUCAUACCUCAAAAUUUUACUCCACAACUAAAUAGUUGAAAGAUGUAAUAUCAUUCCUAGGCUU